rnacentral:rRNA from 1 species
UACGAAGGGGGCUAGCGUUGUUCGGAAUUACUGGGCGUAAAGCGCGCGCAGGUGGUCUUUCAAGUCAGUGGUGAAAGCCCGGAGCUCAACUCCGGAAAUGCCAUUGAAACUGUGAGACUUGAGGACGAGAGAGGUGAGUGGAACUGCGAGUGUAGAGGUGAAAUUCGUAGAUAUUCGCAAGAACACCAGUGGCGAAGGCGGCUCACUGGCCCGAUACUGACGCUGAGGCACGAAAGCGUGGGGAGCAAACAGG